rnacentral:rRNA from 1 species
CCUACGGGUGGCAGCAGUGGGGAAUAUUGGGCAAUGGAGGCAACUCUGACCCAGCAAUGCCGCGUGAAUGAUGAAGGUUUUCGGAUUGUAAAGUUCUGUUAUAGGGGACGAAAAAAAUGACGGUACUUUAUGAGUAAGCCCCGGCUAACUAUGUGCCAGCAGCCGCGGUGAUACGUAGGGGGCAAGCGUUGUCCGGAUUGACUGGGUGUAAAGGUUGUGUAGGUGGGUGGUUAAGUUAGAGGUGAAAUCCCGAAGCUCAACUUCGGAACUGCCUUUAAAACUGGUUGGCUUGAGUGUAGUUGAGGUAAGUGGAAUUCCUAGUGUAGCGGUGGAAUGCGUAGAUAUUAGGAAGAACAUCAGUGGCGAAGGCGACUAACUGGACCAUUACUGACGCUGAAGCACGAAAGCGUGGGGAGCAAACAGGAUUAGAUACCCGAGUAGUC